GGGGGGGGCGGGGGGCGGGGCGGGUGGGGGCGGGUCGGGCGGCGAGGUGGGGGGCUGGCUCCGCUGACGUUCGCGGCGGACGGGUGCGUAGCCCGUGGAUAGCCUGCCUAUCAGACUGGGAUGACUUCGGAAAACCGGGUCUACUACCGGCUACUGUAUUGCACCGCAUGGUUCACUAGUGAAAGCCGGUUGUGCUGGCACUUGUAGAUGACUCCGCGCCGCAUUAGCUAGUUGGUAAGGUAACGGCUUACCAAGGCAACGCUGCGUAGCCGACCUGAGAGGGUGAUCGGCCACCCUGGAACUGAGACACGGUCCAGACUCCUACGGGAGGCAGCAGUAGGGAAUCUUCCGCAAUGGGCGAAAGCCUGACGGAGCAACGCCGCGUGAGUGAUGAAGGUCUUCGGAUCGUAAAACUCUGUUAUUAGGGAAGAACAAAUGUGUAAGUAACUAUGCACGUCUUGACGGUACCUAAUCAGAAAGCCACGGCUAACUACGUG
rnacentral:rRNA from 1 species